UACGAAGGGGGCUAGCGUUGUUCGGAAUCACUGGGCGUAAAGCGUAUGCAGGCGGAUCGUUAAGUCAGGGGUGAAAUCCCGAGGCUCAACCUCGGAACUGCCUUUGAUACUGGCGAUCUUCGAGUCCGGGAGAGGUGAGUGGAACUGCGAGUGUAGAGGUGAAAUUCGUAGAUAUUCGCAAGAACACCAGUGGCGAAGGCGGCUCACUGGCCCGGUACUGACGCUGAGAUACGAAAGCGUGGGGAGCAAA
rnacentral:rRNA from 1 species